rnacentral:rRNA from 1 species
AUUGAACGCUGGCGGCAGGCUUAACACAUGCAAGUCGAGCGGAGAUGAGGUGCUUGCACCUUAUCUUAGCGACGGACGGGUGAGUAAUGCUUAGGAAUCUGCCUAUUAGUGGGGGACAACAUUCCGAAAGGAAUGCUAAUACCGCAUACGUCCUACGAGAGAAAGCAGGGGAUCUUCGGACCUUGCGCUAAUAGAUGAGCCUAGGUCGGAUUAGCUAGUUGGUGGGGUAAAGGCCUACCAAGGCGACAAUCUGUAGCGGGUCUGAGAGGAUGAUCCGCCACACUGGGACUGAGACACGGCCCAGACUCCUACGGGAGGCAGCAGUGGGGAACAUUGGACAAUGGGGGGAACCCUGAUCCAGCCAUGCCGCGUGUGUGAAGAAGGCCUUAUGGUUGUAAAGCACUUUAAGCGAGGAGGAGGCUACUGAGACUAAUACUCUUGGAUAGUGGACGUUACUCGCAGAAUAAGCACCGGCUAACUCUGUGCCAGCAGCCGCCGUAAUAC